rnacentral:lncRNA from 1 species
UUUACUUUUAAAGGAACAUGAAUUGAUUUAAGAAAUGUACAUUUCAUUAUUUCACUGUAAAUGCAUUCUCUUUCCUUAUGCUAUUAUUUGUUACAAACCAAGACAUGCUCAGCAGUAAGAAACACAAGAGUAGUCUAUGAUCAUUUAUUACCUUAAGUAAUAAUUAUUACCACUCUUACUCUAUUUUUUAAAAUUUAGAAAUGCCAACCACUUUAUGAGCUGGACGGAAAACACAGAUGGGGACAUAUUUGUGCAGUGAAACGAAGUUUGGCAGGUCUGACUAUCUUUUAUUGUACACUGUCUGAGGUCAAUUAGGAUUCAGCUGAUCUUGGAGUUGGUUGACAAUGAUGUUUAUAAUUAGACAGAGGAAAGGGAAAAGGAGAAUUUCUGUGGAGCAUAAGGGCAAGCAUUCAUCAAGUCUUGCUGCCUGUUUUCCUCAGCUCAGUAUUAUGGGUUACGUGAAUGUAGUCCCAGCAGUUCAACUUUAUCAUGACAGCACACAGUUCUGGUGUGGCACACAUUACCAACCUGUUUCCGAAACAACUUUUUCCAUCUUAAGUCCUCAAUGUGAAAAAGAAUCUCCAAGCUAUGGAGGUUGUGCCAAGCAAAAUAAGUAACACAGACUGUUGAGCAACUCUCAGCUACAGUGGAGUCUCUGAAGGAACAUAGCUGGCUGGUACAACAUAGACUACUUUAUCCUCUAUGUAAUUUGGGCAGAAACUCCAUAUAUCUCCCUUCAUUGCUACAGCCUUAAAUAGAAGUAGCAGAGAACGAGGGCCAAAUACAUUCAGUUGAGAGUUAAAGUAUAUAUUACAACCUUUUUUGAUGGCAUAAAUCUAUAUGCAUAAACAUAAUAUAUAUGCAUAAACACUGCACACCUGUGUAUAUAUAUAAUAAUUUAAGCAUCUGAGUAUUUUUUUUAAUUUCAUGUCUGUAUACAUGUAUACUUGUAGCAGAUAAUUAAGCAUCAACAAAGUACCAACCAAGUACCAACAAAGCAAAUUCCUAUUCCCACAAGUAAAGAUUACUCAAAAAUCAAUACUUCAUGUUUGGAUGUAAACACUGGAAAACACUGAAGAGAUGCUUAGUCUGACCUAUCCCAAAAACAGAAUUUGUGUGCAUAUUCAGACUCACUUGAGGAUCUCAAAAACAAUGCUUACCAAUAAAAUAUUGAGACAAGCUUUUGACA